rnacentral:rRNA from 1 species
UGGGGAAUAUUGGACAAUGGGCGAAAGCCUGAUCCAGCCAUGCCGCGUGUGUGAAGAAGGUCUUCGGAUUGUAAAGCACUUUAAGUUGGGAGGAAGGGUUGUAGAUUAAUACUCUGCAAUUUUGACGUUACCGACAGAAUAAGCACCGGCUAACUCUGUGC